CAAGAGUUCCAAAUGGUGAAGUUGAAAUCAUCCCUUCGUAAUUUUACGGACGCCAUCACGAGUUGGUUGACCGUUAUGGAAUAACCGUUUCACAAAUGAUAUCGGAUAUGUUCCUUACGUCGUAACUACAAUCCCCUUCCCUUUCAUGAAUGUGACCUACCGAAUUAGACUAUUUACCGGAUUUGUAAUCACAUAAGCAACACGACGGGUGCCACAUAUGGAGCAGGAUCUGCU
rnacentral:lncRNA from 1 species